UAAGAAGCCUUUGUUUCUGCCAUUAAAUGAGCAGUCUCACUGAAGCUGUUCUCAGCAGGCUCACAGCCACCUGGGGUCUAUUCUGCUCCCAGCUUCCCAACUUAGGAUCUGCCAGCUGUGAUUCUCAGCCAAUCAUGAGGAUACAGGUGGAGAAGCAGAGCCUGACCAGCACAUGGUAGCCAGAGAGACUUCCAACUGUGGCAGGAGGGGUGUAGGCUAAAUCAGUAGCCAAUAAGGAUCCCCUUAGAUGACAAGCUAUCCUGAGGCCACCCACUCUCUCCCCACUCCUCAGUGGCUGCUUUAAGAGGAAGAGCCCUGUGUCCCAUGUGGCGAACCCAUGCCUGACAGAGAACAUGAAGGAGGAACAUGUAUACUUCUGCCCAUCACACUGCCUGUUUUGGUUGUUUGAACAACCCCAUAUCUCAUAUUCAUUUCUUUAAAAACUUAGACUUCUGCAGUAUGCCUGUCCAGGAGGAUGUCUGCCAAGUCGCCAGUAUGAGAGGCAAUUAGUUCCAAGGUGACAAUGUGCUGAAUACCUUCGUUUGCCAUCUUCAUUUGGGUGACUUGUUUGAAAACAGAGACUCAUUGUUCCCAUCUAUGGCCUAUUCCUGUGUGAGACAGGCUUCCGCUGCAUGAUGUCCAAACACCUCUGUGAACCCCACUUUCAGUUCCUGUGUGAUGUCUACUUGCUUGCUGUAGGUUUUCCAACGUUCUCUGAAGAGAUCUUUAGAAUACUGCCAAGUCCUGAAUCAGACCUUUCCAAAGCAUACCCACUCAGUUUUGUGCACAUCUAUGCAAACAUUUGCAGCUAUAUUCAGGAAAAAAAAAAAAAAAAGAUGUGUUUUAGAGCAUUAGUGGUUUUUGCUGGUGGCCUGGCCUCCUCUUUCACAGGAAGGGAAGAGAAAAAGAUCUGCUGAGCUCUUUCCAUUCAGGAUCCCAGCUUUGUCUCAGCAGUUUUCCAGAACCCUGGUGCCAGCUCACUUUGCACGUAGAAAACUCAGAAAAAUGAAAUGGUUCAAGGCUCUGAACUAAGCUCUCACCAGGGUCUCAUGUUCAAGGCUGCCAAGGGAUGUGUACCCUUAAGGGCGUUUCCCCACCUCCUUGGAUCAACCUCAUCCAGAACAACUAACGAAGACAGUAAAACGACUUAUCCCGUGUCUGGAAAGAAAAGAAAACCUGUCAACCUUCCAAGCACAAGAGAAAUAGCGUCGGUAAUAAAUUGCUUCUAGAGCAGUACAUGAGGUAGACUGUAAAAUACAAAUAAGUUAAUGAUUGUGCUUAAAUAGUAAAGGGAAGCGCAGACAUUUAUCACAGUCCCUUUUUAAAUGAGGGUUCUAUUCAGUAUUUUGAAGUGUUCAUUCACACAUCUGCUCCACAUCUGUAGUCUGUCUACAGUAUUAUGUCUGGUGGCAAUGAUGAAAUCACAUGAUCUCUCUCUAUUGAAAGGUGAAUCUAAGAGGCCUUUCUUCUGGGCAUGAUGUUACGAAACAAGCGGGUAAGGAAAGAGGAUCUGAGAAUAGCAGAGGCCCGAGUAUCUGGAGAGAAACUACAUAACACUGUAGACAGUCCAGAGGUAUUCCAGGAAACAGCUUAGGACAGACUCUAAGAUAAAUACGUUUCUCUGUUAUCAUGUUAUGGGUGAAGGUUAGACAGCAUUCCAUCAUCGGUAUGUAAACGGUUUUAUCUAUAAUUGAUCGGUUCACUAACACCACCAGGAUUUUUCUUAAAUCCUCUUCUGUCCAGUUCUGUUUUAACUUGUGAGAGGAUAAACUCUAUCAUGUUUGUUCAAGUUGAACAAUGAGUUAAAGAACUAUCAGGUUUCAGAAUUGGAUGUAGACCCAACCUAUAGGAUCCGGCAAAAUGUCUCUUUGCCCUUUCUCCAUAACGUCUAAAUCUACAUUAUAUUCUGAUCAUGAAGCUCCUGGACCACAUUGAUCUCCUUAUCUUAGUGCCCAGAACUUUAGGGUGUUCAGUGAUACAGAAAAGGAAAAUGGCAGCUGUGGGAGGAAGUAAGGUUGCUAACCACUCACCAUGAGACUGGGAACAGUCACAAGGGUGUCCAUACGUAAGAAGCUGAGACAAAGGAGAGAGGGUCAAAAUGAUGAGAGACAAAGCAAUCGCUGGACUGGAAAACAGGGAGGGGUCUCCUACGUUGAGUGUAGGCACACCAUAAAACCCUAGCAAGGCAAGAAAAGAGUCCUGUUAUCAUUAUGUUAUUAGCUCAGUGAGAAACCAUUCAGACUCAGGACCUUUAGAAUUUUAAGAUAUUUAAAUUUUCUAUUAUUUUUGAAGCCACUGAGUUCAUAGCCACUUGGUAUAGCAAGCAUAGGAGGCUAUCCAGUAUUCUGUUCUAUGAACCAGUUAUAAAGUAUGGGUAAUCGGAUUGGUAGUGAUACAUGUAUUGGAGUGGGGGAAAUAGGGGAUACAUGUAUUUUAGAUAUUUAUAAAAAUAUAUUUCUGGUACCUAGAAGAAGUUUUAAUGCAGCUAAACUCUGAGGAGUUUUGUUUUGCUUUGCUUAUUAAAGGAAAUAGAGUCCAGACAAAAGUGUAUGCUGUCAAUCCUAGCAAAGAUGGGCCGAUCUCUGUAAGUUUAAGGUCAGCCUGGUCUACAUAGCAAAUUCCAGACUAGCUUGCUCUAUAUACUGAGUUCUAGAUCAGUCAGGGCUAUACAGUGAUCCCUUGUCAAAAAAUAAAAAAAUAAAAUACUAGUGGUUCAUUAUAA